UCCUGGCGUCAGGAUGAACGCUAGCUACAGGCUUAACACAUGCAAGUCGAGGGCAGCAUGGUCUUAGCUUGCUAAGACUGAUGGCGACCGGCGCACGGGUGAGUAACGCGUAUCCAACCUGGCCCUAGUAGGGAACAGCCCGGCGAAAGUCGGAUUAAUGCCCUAUGGUUUUCCAAUGAUGGCAUCUGACUUGGAACAAAGAUUCAUCGCUAAGGGAUGGGGAUGCGUCUGAUUAGCUUGUCGGCGGGGUAACGGCCCACCGAGGCGACGAUCAGUAGGGGUUCUGAGAGGAAGGUCCCCCACAUUGGUACUGAGACACGGACCAAACUCCUACGGGAGGCAGCAGUGAGGAAUAUUGGUCAAUGGGCGCGAGCCUGAACCAGCCAAGUAGCGUGCAGGAAGACUGCCCUAUGGGUUGUAAACUGCUUUUAUGCGGGAAUAAAGUCAGGUACGCGUACCUGUUUGUAUGUACCGCAUGAAUAAGGACCGGCUAAUUCCGUGCCAGCCGCGGC
rnacentral:rRNA from 1 species